UCAUAUUAUUAAAACAAUUAUAUCACAUUAUAAUAUUAUAUCAUAAUACCUAUAAUGACAAAUGGAUUUAAAAUUUUAAAGCAUUUCAAUCAGUAUCGUCAUUGCCGUCGUCAGGAUAAAAUAAAAACUUCCAUCAAAUAUAAAUAAGGUAAUAAGACGGUACACAGUGUCAUUUAAACGUUUAUCGCAAUAAUACAAUAAUAUUCAAUAUCAAAUCAUUAUGUCGGCGAAGAAAAACAUUUUGGCAACUGCCUUUAUAGUGCUAUUAUUUUCGACAUCCGUCACCCCUACCAAUAUCUUUAUUUCCGCCGUGUGCUUCAGCGGUUGCGGAACUAUGUUAGUAACUUGCUAUGUGAUUACCGGAUUAGAGAUCCUCAAGGCUGCUGUUGUUGAUGAUCAUUUGCCUACUUCAGGAUGCAGAUCCAUGUUCCAUGAAUGUAAGGACGUAUGUUACAGAUCUUAUAGAAGAGAUUAAUAUUAGUUUUUAAACUACUGUUAGUUUUUUAGAGACGACACCUGAUGUUACACUAAGGCUAUUAUACGAGUAUAAGCAUAAUGUAUCAAAUAUUUUAUAUUAUUAUGUAUACUGACUAUAAGGCUUUCUAUUUUCAUACAUGUUUAACAAGUCACGAAAAAUCUAUAUAAAUUAUGUCAUAUUACCAUUUAUAAAUUAAUUUAAUUUAAUUUAUUUACUAAUUUUAAAGGUUUACUCAAUGGGCCAAUAUUAUCUAAACUAAUAAUAAAAAAAUCUGUGUGUACCUGUGUGUUUGUAUCUAAGCAAUCCAAAAUUUUCGCACUUACGGUUCUGAAAUUUGGUUCAUGGAUAAUCCUGUACCGAAAAAUGUAUGAUCAGCUAUAAUUAAUACAUAUAAUACGUGCAAUGUAUUAUAUAAAAUUAAAGACCUAAAAUGGAUGACUUUGAUGCAGAUCUCAAGUUAUCGACCAUUUUUUAUGAAAUGUUCGUAAAUAAAUUCAGCAAGAUCCGUAAUGCAAUGUAGGCUAUUUUGUAUUACUUAUUCUUUAGGUACUUUUUAACACAUAAAUGUUAAACAUAGUUAAAUCAGAAAAAACUGUCAUUUUUAUACUAAUAGAUUACAGGAAAUAAAAUAGUUAUUAUGGUUGGAUUAUAUUAUUUAAGAUUUAUAUUUUUUAUUGAUCAACAGCCCAAAUAACUGUUUUAAAAAUCAGCGCAGUUUACAUUUAACGGAGUUUUAAUAAAUCAACAAACAUUUAAUUUGUUACGGCAACGCCGUGAAGGAUCAAUUAUCAUAUAAAAUGUAUAAAUAAAAAAAAAAUAAUCGGCGAAUUCGCUUUACUGCAGUCAUAGAGUAUACUAGAACGUAAGUAGGUUUCAAGUACACCUAGUAGUCACUGACGGAGACGGAUCAGUAUGCUGCUACGAUAUUAUAUCAUUACACAUAUUUUUGCGUAUAAUCCAUAGCAUAAGGAAUAACACUGCAUGACGUGGUAUAAUCAAUAUUGAACACUAUUAUAUGCAUUUAUAUUGCCUAAUCAAUGCGCCGCUUUGUAUAAAAUGUACUUGGCACAAUAAUGAGGUAAAAAGUCUAAAAAGUUAUAAUUAAUUGACGUGUGAAUUUGAAAUUUUAUUAGGAAAAGUUAGAAUAAUCACCAAUAGUGGUAUUUUAUUAUUAUAACAAAUUGAACGUUAUAAUUGUAGUAGAUUAAUAACCAUCCACUGACAUCGGUUUUAUACUUUUUUUAUCAAGUCUUACUAUAAUCCGUCUUACGAAAAAAAGGUACCUCGUCUCGGCGAAAACCUGAUAUCCUUACUCAUCCUCACGCCACACCACGACUAGUAUUUUCAUUGCAUUCGACUCGGCUGUAUCGGACUGCGAACAAUUACCGAUCGCUGUUCUAAACUCCAGAACUCAGUUUGAAGGUAUCUUGAAAGAUCUGUGGUUUAAUACGCUUACUCAAAAGUAAAUUAUAGAAACAAAUAUUAAUUAUUACAAUUCUUUAAAAUGGAAUAAAAUUAUCUAUAUUUUCGAACAUUUUCAUAUAUUCAUAUCAGUUCAUCAGAGUUAUAACCUAUUGUCGGUAGAUUCGCUGAUUUGGUCGGAAUGCGUUUUUGUUGAUACGUUCAUGAUUGCUAUCUACUUAAAUAUCACUUUCAUCAGACUAACGUUAUGUCGGUGACCAAUAAAACGUAACCGAUCGGCAAUCCAGACACAACAUACAAACCAAAUUGUCACGACCAGACUACACCGUUUUUCUGAACCGUCCGAAAUCGAUCUGAAAUAAGCCACACGCUGUUACAGUUUGGCAGCAAUUAUGCUUAUCCAUCGUAACCUCGUAGGAACCUAAAAAACUUAUUUUGAUUGAAAGUUGUCGAAGCAGUCUAUUAUUUGGAAUGAGAUAAUCUGGGAACGGCUGAAAAGGAAGAAAAUUAAUAACUGAUCGUUUUUAUUGCCUAAAAGUGCCAAAAAGAAAGUGUCUUUAAACACAAAAAUAAAAAAACACAACGUUGUUAAAUCAUUACAUUCGUCAUUCAUUGUUAUGCUCAGAAACUAAAAAUUUCAUUAUAGUUUAUAAUAGUAUUAACUAUUAAUAGGUACGUAAUAUAAAAUAUAAAAAAAGGAAACUUGUUCGUGAUGCAUGUUUAAAGUAUACCUAUUUCAGAAGAAAAAAAUAUUAGAAGUUGAUCGGAAGCUACACAAAAAAAAACUAUAUGCAUACACACAUAUUAUGUCAUUUUUGAAAUACGACCGCCAAAAAUAGGAAGUAAUUGAGAUUACAUCAUCGAUAAAUUAACGCAAUUAAUGCUGACUGCUGUAAAAAAAUUGUCAACUGUACACCUGCACUCUGCAGUACUGCCAGAGAUCAUUAGACAGUUAGACAGUAGUGUAUCAUCGGUUAUUGCGAGUAAUGCGGAAUAAAUUAUACUUACAUGUAUACCUACUUACCUGCAUAUCAACUUUACAAUAUAGGUAUGUAAUAAAACAUUUUUUUUAUUUUAAACGGUUACAAAUUUCAAUUUCAUAAAAAUAUAAUAUAAUAUAAUAUACUAAGAAAUUUAA